GGGAAUGUGGCUUAGUGGUAGAGUACUUGCUUAGCAUGCAUGAAGCCCUGGGUUCGAUUCCUCAGUACCA
rnacentral:tRNA from 1 species